CCUACGGGAGGCAGCAGUGAGGAAUAUUGGUCAAUGGACGAGAGUCUGAACCAGCCAAGUAGCGUGAAGGAUGACUGCCCUAUGGGUUGUAAACUUCUUUUGUAAAGGAAUAAAACGAGGCACGUGUGCCUUUUUGCAUGUACUUUAUGAAUAAGGAUCGGCUAACUCCGUGCCAGCAGCCGCGGUAAUACGGAGGAUUCGAGCGUUAUCCGGAUUUAUUGGGUUUAAAGGGAGCGUAGAUGGGUUGUUAAGUCAGUGGUGAAAGUUUGCGGCUCAACCGUAAAAUUGCAAUUGAUACUGGUAGUCUUGAGUACAGUUGAGGUAGGCGGAAUUCGUGGUGUAGCGGUGAAAUGCUUAGAUAUCACGAAGAACCCCGAUUGCGAAGGCAGCUUACCAAACUGUGACUGACAUUGAUGCUCGAAAGUGUGGGUAUCAAACAGGAUUAGAUACCCCAGUAGUC
rnacentral:rRNA from 1 species